UUGAAGAGUUUGAUCAUGGCUCAGAUUGAACGCUGGCGGCAGGCCUAACACAUGCAAGUCGAGCGGUAGCACAGAGAGCUUGCUCUCGGGUGACGAGCGGCGGACGGGUGAGUAAUGUCUGGGAAACUGCCUGAUGGAGGGGGAUAACUACUGGAAACGGUAGCUAAUACCGCAUAACGUCGCAAGACCAAAGUGGGGGACCUUCGGGCCUCAUGCCAUCAGAUGUGCCCAGAUGGGAUUAGCUAGUAGGUGGGGUAACGGCUCACCUAGGCGACGAUCCCUAGCUGGUCUGAGAGGAUGACCAGCCACACUGGAACUGAGACACGGUCCAGACUCCUACGGGAGGCAGCAGUGGGGAAUAUUGCACAAUGGGCGCAAGCCUGAUGCAGCCAUGCCGCGUGUGUGAAGAAGGCCUUCGGGUUGUAAAGCACUUUCAGCGGGGAGGAAGGCGUUAAGGUUAAUAACCUCAUCGAUUGACGUUACCCGCAGAAGAAGCACCGGCUAACUCCGUGCCAGCAGCCGCGGUAAUACGGAGGGUGCAAGCGUUAAUCGGAAUUACUGGGCGUAAAGCGCACGCAGGCGGUCUGUCAAGUCGGAUGUGAAAUCCCCGGGCUCAACCUGGGAACUGCAUUCGAAACUGGCAGGCUAGAGUCUUGUAGAGGGGGGUAGAAUUCCAGGUGUAGCGGUGAAAUGCGUAGAGAUCUGGAGGAAUACCGGUGGCGAAGGCGGCCCCCUGGACAAAGACUGACGCUCAGGUGCGAAAGCGUGGGGAGCAAACAGGAUUAGAUACCCUGGUAGUCCACGCCGUAAACGAUGUCGAUUUGGAGGUUGUGCCCUUGAGGCGUGGCUUCCGGAGCUAACGCGUUAAAUCGACCGCCUGGGGAGUACGGCCGCAAGGUUAAAACUCAAAUGAAUUGACGGGGGCCCGCACAAGCGGUGGAGCAUGUGGUUUAAUUCGAUGCAACGCGAAGAACCUUACCUGGUCUUGACAUCCACAGAACUUAGCAGAGAUGCUUUGGUGCCUUCGGGAACUGUGAGACAGGUGCUGCAUGGCUGUCGUCAGCUCGUGUUGUGAAAUGUUGGGUUAAGUCCCGCAACGAGCGCAACCCUUAUCCUUUGUUGCCAGCGGUCCGGCCGGGAACUCAAAGGAGACUGCCAGUGAUAAACUGGAGGAAGGUGGGGAUGACGUCAAGUCAUCAUGGCCCUUACGACCAGGGCUACACACGUGCUACAAUGGCAUAUACAAAGAGAAGCGACCUCGCGAGAGCAAGCGGACCUCAUAAAGUAUGUCGUAGUCCGGAUUGGGAGUCUGCAACUCGACUCCAUGAAGUCGGAAUCGCUAGUAAUCGUAGAUCAGAAUGCUACGGUGAAUACGUUCCCGGGCCUUGUACACACCGCCCGUCACACCAUGGGAGUGGGUUGCAAAAGAAGUAGGUAGCUUAACCUUCGGGAGGGCGCUUACCACUUUGUGAUUCAUGACUGGGGUGAAGUCGUAACAAGGUAACCGUAGGGGAACCUGCGGUUGGAUCACCUCCUU
rnacentral:rRNA from 1 species